CUGUUUGACAUAAUAAUGUUACCUUUAUUCUUCUUUUAUGUAGCUUGUCUUCUAUCCUUUGUUAUAUUCUCAUGUUACAAAAGCAUUGCCUUUUAUAGUUGCUGCUCUUUCAUAAUUUCAGUCUGGUUGGUGCUUGAAGUCCAAUUUCGUAUUCUCUCUUUUAUUUUUCCUUGUGCUAUUUUCAAUUUGUUCUUAAAGUUCCCUUGUCAUAAAGACUGUUGGUAAAACCAAUUUCUGAACGGUAAAGGCACUUGUGUUUUAUUUACUUGUUUUCUGUCAUUUGAUAUGCUAUUCCUACUGAUUAGCAACGGCGUCGUAUUAAUACUUCUUCUAUGACUACCAAGUGUUUGACAUUUAUUUUCUGCUUCACAGUCAGGAUGGAAGUCAGCUUUAGCUGCUUCUUCAAGUUGAAAUUGGUACAAAUUGUUUUGCUGUGUGUGACAGGUUUCACAUCAUAACAAUUCCAUCAAACCUUCGGAAUCAAAUGUAGUAUGAUCGAAAAGUUAAUCAGGUAGCAAAUUAUGCAAAUCUUUUAAGCAGCUUGCUGUUUAUUGUGUGAAUUGUUGGCUUGAGCUCUGUUCUGGAAUAGCAGGAGUUGUUCUUCGAGGAAGAUAGUAGAUGUCGAAACUCCACGAUCUUGGAUAACUUGAUCUUUUGUUUCCUUUCCCUUUUCAACUACUCCUUUAUGUGUCAAACUGUGAUUUGCAUAUAAAGAGAGUAUGAUUCGGUUUUA